rnacentral:rRNA from 1 species
UACGGAGGGUGCGAGUGUUAAUCGGAAUUACUGGGCGUAAAGCGCACGCAGGCGGUUUGUUAAGCUAGAUGUGAAAGCCCAGGGCUCAACCUGGGAUGGUCAUUUAGAACUGGCAGACUAGAGUCUUGGAGAGGGGAGUGGAAUUCCAGGUGUAGCGGUGAAAUGCGUAGAUAUCUGGAGGAACAUCAGUGGCGAAGGCGACUCCCUGGCCAAAGACUGACGCUCAUGUGCGAAAGUGUGGGUAGCGAACAGG